rnacentral:rRNA from 1 species
GACGAACGCUGGCGGCGUGCUUAACACAUGCAAGUCGAACGGAAAGGCCCUGCUUUUGUGGGGUGCUCGAGUGGCGAACGGGUGAGUAACACGUGAGUAACCUGCCCUUGACUUUGGGAUAACUUCAGGAAACUGGGGCUAAUACCGGAUAGGAGCUCCUGCUGCAUGGUGGGGGUUGGAAAGCUUCGGCGGUUGGGGAUGGACUCGCGGCUUAUCAGCUUGUUGGUGGGGUAGUGGCUUACCAAGGCUUUGGCGGGUAGCCGGCCUGAGAGGGUGACCGGCCACAUUGGGACUGAGAUACGGCCCAGACUCCUACGGGAGGCAGCAGUGGGGAAUAUUGCACAAUGGGCGGAAGCCUGAUGCAGCAACGCCGCGUGCGGGAUGACGGCCUUCGGGUUGUAAACCGCUUUCGCCUGUGACGAAGCGUGAGUGACGGUAAUGGGUAAAGAAGCACCGGCUAACUACGUG